rnacentral:rRNA from 1 species
CAUCCUACGGGAGGCAGCAGUCGGGAAUAUUGCGCAAUGGAGGAAACUCUGACGCAGUGACGCCGCGUAUAGGAAGAAGGUUUUCGGGUCGUAAAGCUCUGUUGCGGGGGAAAAAAGGCAGCAUCAGGAAAUGGGUGCUGACUGAUGGUGCCCCGCCAGAAAGUCACGGCUAACUACGUGCCAGCAGCCGCGGUAAUACGUAGGUGGCGAGCGUUAUCCGGAAUGAUUGGGCGUAAAGGGUGCGCAGGCGGUCCUGCAAGUCUGGAGUGAAACGCAUGAGCUCAACUCAUGCAUGGCUUUGGAAA